rnacentral:lncRNA from 1 species
UAGGGUGGCCGGGGCGAACCGGGCAUCCAGUCGGCCGACAUGGAGAAGCGCGACACGGCAUUCGUGGAGGCGCCGCUCGGGAGUGGGACGGCGGCGGCGAACUUCGACUUGGAGGAGGAGAGGACGGAUGGGAAGGAGGUGGUGGAGAUGCCGCAGCUCAUCAGCGAGUUGGCGGCCAUCCUCGGAGACCGGAGACGAUUGGUGAGUCUUCGGAGAAUGGAGCGCGCGAGAGAGAGAGAGAGAGAGAGAGCGAAUGAAUGGACG